GUGAGGAAUAUUGGUCAAUGGACGGAAGUCUGAACCAGCCAAGUAGCGUGCAGGAAGACGGCCCUAUGGGUUGUAAACUGCUUUUGUAUGGGGAUAAAGUCAAUCACGUGUGAUUGUUUGCAGGUACCAUACGAAUAAGGACCGGCUAAUUCCGUGCCAGCAGCCGCGGUAAUACGGAAGGUUCGGGCGUUAUCCGGAUUUAUUGGGUUUAAAGGGAGCGUAGGCCGGAGAUUAAGUGUGUUGUGAAAUGUAGACGCUCAACGUCUGACUUGCAGCGCAUACUGGUUUCCUUGAGUACGCACAACGUUGGCGGAAUUCGUCGUGUAGCGGUGAAAUGCUUAGAUAUGACGAAGAACUCCGAUUGCGAAGGCAGCUGACGGGAGCGCAACUGACGCUGAAGCUCGAAGGUGCGGGUAUCGAACAGGAUUAGAUACCCCAGUAGUCC
rnacentral:rRNA from 1 species